GAUGAACGCUAGCGGCAGGCCUAAUACAUGCAAGUCGAGGGGUAUGGGAAGCUUGCUUCCUUGAGACCGGCGCACGGGUGCGUAACGCGUAUGCAACCUACCCUUUUCUGGGGGAUAGCCCGGAGAAAUCCGGAUUAAUACCGCAUAAGACCACACGAUGGCAUCAUCGAGGGGUCAAACAUUUAUGGGAGAAGGAUGGGCAUGCGUGCCAUUAGCUAGUUGGCGGGGUAACGGCCCACCAAGGCGACGAUGGCUAGGGGAUCUGAGAGGAUGGCCCCCCACACUGGUACGGAGACACGGACCAGACUCCUACGGGAGGCAGCAGUAAGGAAUAUUGGUCAAUGGGCGCAAGCCUGAACCAGCCAUGCCGCGUGCAGGAAGACGGCCCUCCGGGUUGUAAACUGCUUUUGUACGGGAAUAAACCUCUCUACGUGUAGGGAGCUGAAUGUACCGUAAGAAUAAGGAUCGGCUAACUCCGUGCCAGCAGCCGCCGUAAAAC
rnacentral:rRNA from 1 species